rnacentral:rRNA from 1 species
UACAGAGGGUGCAAGCGUUGUUCGGAAUUAUUGGGCGUAAAGGGCGCGUAGGCGGUGCGGUAAGUCCGCAGUGAAAUCUCUGGGCUCAACUCAGAGUCUGCUGUGGAAACUGCCGUGCUUGAGUGUGGGAGAGGUGAGUGGAAUUCCCGGUGUAGCGGUGAAAUGCGUAGAUAUCGGGGGGAACACCUGUGGCGAAAGCGGCUCACUGGACCACAACUGACGCUGAGGCGCGAAAGCUAGGGGAGCAAACAGG